rnacentral:rRNA from 1 species
UACGUAGGGUGCGAGCGUUAAUCGGAAUUACUGGGCGUAAAGGGUGCGCAGGCGGUUUUGUAAGCCAGAUGUGAAAUCCCCGGGCUCAACCUGGGAAUGGCAUUUGGGACUGCAAGGCUAGAGUGUGGCAGAGGAGACUGGAAUUCCCGGUGUAGCAGUGAAAUGCGUAGAUAUCGGGAGGAAUACCGAUGGCGAAGGCAGCACUCUGGGACGUGACUGACGCUGAGACGCGAAAGCGUGGGGAGCAAACAGG